rnacentral:rRNA from 1 species
AUGCUUAACACAUGCAAGUCGAACGGAAACGACAAUAUUGAAUCUUCGGAGGAUUUGUUGGGCGUCGAGCGGCGGACGGGUGAGUAAUGCCUAGGAAAUUGCCUUGAUGUGGGGGAUAACCAUUGGAAACGAUGGCUAAUACCGCAUAAUGCCUACGGGCCAAAGAGGGGGAUCUUCGGACCUCUCGCGUCAAGAUAUGCCUAGGUGGGAUUAGCUAGUUGGUGAGGUAAUGGCUCACCAAGGCGACGAUCCCUAGCUGGUCUGAGAGGAUGAUCAGCCACACUGGAACUGAGACACGGUCCAGACUCCUACGGGAGGCAGCAGUGGGGAAUAUUGCACAAUGGGCGAAAGCCUGAUGCAGCCAUGCCGCGUGUAUGAAGAAGGCCUUCGGGUUGUAAAGUACUUUCAGUUGUGAGGAAGGGGGUAACGUUAAUAGCGUUAUCUCUUGACGUUAGCAACAGAAGAAGCACCGGCUAACUCCGUGCCAGCAGCCGCGGUAAUACGGAGGGUGCGAGCGUUAAUCGGAAUUACUGGGCGUAAAGCGCAUGCAGGUGGUUCAUUAAGUCAGAUGUGAAAGCCCGGGGCUCAACCUCGGAACUGCAUUUGAAACUGGUGAACUAGAGUGCUGUAGAGGGGGGUAGAAUUUCAGGUGUAGCGGUGAAAUGCGUAGAGAUCUGAAGGAACACCAGUGG